rnacentral:rRNA from 1 species
UGCAGUCGAGGGGUAUUAGGUCUUCGGACUAAGAGACCGGCGCACGGGUGCGUAACGCGUAUGCAAUCUACCUUUCACAGAGGGAUAGCCCAGAGAAAUUUGGAUUAAUACCUCAUAGUAUUAUGAAAUGGCAUCAUUUUAUAAUUAAAGUCACAACGGUGAAAGAUGAGCAUGCGUCCCAUUAGCUAGUUGGUAAGGUAACGGCUUACCAAGGCUACGAUGGGUAGGGGUCCUGAGAGGGAGAUCCCCCACACUGGUACUGAGACACGGACCAGACUCCUACGGGAGGCAGCAGUGAGGAAUAUUGGACAAUGGGCGCAAGCCUGAUCCAGCCAUGCCGCGUGCAGGAUGACGGUCCUAUGGAUUGUAAACUGCUUUUAUACGAGAAGAAACACUCCAACGUGUUGGAGCUUGACGGUAUCGUAAGAAUAAGGAUCGGCUAACUCCGUGCCAGCAGCCGCGGUAAUACGGAGGAUCCAAGCGUUAUCCGGAAUCAUUGGGUU